rnacentral:rRNA from 1 species
UACCAGCACCCCGAGUGGUCGGGACGAUUAUUGGGCCUAAAGCAUCCGUAGCCUGUUCUGCAAGUUCUCCGUUAAAUCCACCUGCUCAACAGAUGGGCUGCGGAGGAUACUACAGGGCUAGGAGGCGGGAGAGGCAAACGGUACUCAGUGGGUAGGGGUAAAAUCCACUGAUCCACUGAAGACCACCAGUGGCGAAGGCGGUUUGC